UACAGGCGUGAGCCACCGUGCCCGGCCAGUCUCUCCACUUUUAAAAUGGGGCUAAUAAUACAUAUGUCUCAGGAUUGUUGUGAGGAUGAGAAAUGAUGUAAAUAACAUGUAUAGGCUGGGCGCAGUGGCUCACACCUGUAAUCCCAGCACUUCAGGGGACCAGGGUGGAAGGAUCACUUGAGCUCAGGAGUUCGAGAAUAACCUGGCCAAUAAAAAAAUCCCAUCACUACAAAAAAAUAAAAAAAUUAGCUGGGUGUGGUGGUGUGUGCUUAUAGUCUGAGCUACUUGAGUCUUCAAGGUUGAGGCUGCAGUGAGCCAUGAUCACGUCACUGCACCCUAGACUGAGCAACAGAGCAAGAUCUUGUCUCAAAAAACAAAACAUGGAUUUAACAUAUACUUUGCAGCCAUAGAAAAAGAAUGAGAUCAUGCCCUUUGCAGAGACAUGGAUGGAGCUGGGGGCCGUUAUCCUUAGCAAACUAACACGGGAACAGAAAACCAAAUACCGCAUGUUCUUACCUGUAGGUGCCCGUGCUAAGUGAUGAGAACACAUAGAUAUGUAGAGAGAAACAACACGCACUGGGGCCUAUCGAAGAGGGGAGGGUGGGAGGAGGGAGAAGAUCAGGAAAAAUAGCUAAUGGGUACAAGGCUUAAUACCUGGGUGAUGAAAUAAUCUGUACCACAAACCCCUUUGACACAAGUUUACCUACGUAACAAACCUGCAUAUGUACCCCUGAACUUAAAAGUUUAAAAGGUCCAUAUACUGGCUGAGUGUGGUGGCUCACACCGGUAAUCCCAGCACUUUGGGAGGCCGAGGCGGGCAGAUCACGAGGUCAGGAGAUCCAGACCAUUCUGGCCAACAUGGUGAAACCCCAUCUCCACUAAAAAUUAAAAAAAAUAAAAAUAAAAAUAAAAUUAGCUGGGCGUUGUGGCGUGCACCUGUAGUCCCAGCUACUCGGGAGGCUGAGGCAGGAGAAUCACUUGAACCCGGAAGGCAGAGGCUGCAGUGAGCCAAGAUCACGCCACUGCACUCCAGCCUGGGUGACAGAGUGAGACUCUGUCUCAAAAAACAAAAACAAAACAAAACAAAAACCUGUAUACUUAGCCUAAUACAGAGCUUGACAUGCAAUAAGAGCCAUCUGAUUGGUACCUAAUAAUAUUAAUAACUGUGAUUUGGCAAAGCUUGGUUCAGGUCACUUUUUUGCUGCAUUUUUAAGGACUCAGUCUUUCCCAAUAUACACACAUACUUAUGACGUCUUUAGGCACUAUAGGUACUGUAAUAAUUAUUGUUGUUGUUUUUUAAAAAAAAUUUUUUUCAGGGGGCUUUCUGGUAAAAACUGGAAAGGCUGCUAGACGAAUACUAAAAGAGCUGUAACAUUAAUAAUUAUUGUUUUGUCUGCUCACCGGGCUUUCCUGUUCCCCUUCUGGUAGCACAAUCCACUUCCCCCACUAUAGAUCAGGCAUGUGACCUAGGUCUGACUGGGACCAAACAGGGCCCAUGAAAACCUCUUGAUGUUGAGAGAGAGAAGCCAGCCCUCUUUCCAAAUCUGAGCUGCAAAUGGCCACCUUCCCUGCGAUGUGGAUAGAGCAGAAGUGAAGCAAAGACAAAGAAAAAGAGUCUUGGAGACUUUGGGUCCUGCCCCAAAGCCGCAGCAUUUGCCUUAGUGCCCCUUCCAGUUAUGUGAGCUAGAAAUUUCCUUUUUGGUUUAAGCUAGUGGGAAUAUGGCUUCUGAUCUUUGUAAAGAAGACUCCAGGCCGGGUGCAGUGGCUCACACCUGUAAUCCUAGUGCUUUGGGAGGCCAAGGAGGAAGGAUUGCUUGAGCUCAGGAGUUUGAGACCAUCUUGGGCAACAUAGUGAGACCCCUGUCUCUACAAAAAAAUAAAAAGAAAAAUAUUAGCAGAGGUAGUGAUGUGUGCCUGUAGUCCUAAUUACUUGGGAGGCUGAGACAAGAGGAUUGCUUGAGCCUGGGAGUUCUGGGCUGUAGUGUGCUAUGCUGUUCUGGAGUCUGAACUUAGUGGCAUCAAUAUGGUGACCUCCCAAGAGUGGGUGAUCACCAGAUUGCCUAAGCAGGGGUGAACCUGCCCAGGUAGGAAACAGAGCAGGUUAAAACUCUUGUGCUGAUCAAUAGUGGGAUCAUACCUGUGAAUAGCCAUUGGCGCUACAGCCUGGGCAACAUAGUAAGACCCCAUCUUUUAAAAAGAGAAGAAGAGGAAGACUCCUGCCAGUACAGGCACACAUGUCCUUGAAGUCCAGGGAGGUCAGGAGAUUCGUCUGAAGCACAGAGCAGUUAAUGGUAGAACGAUUAAUAGAACUUAGACUUGUCUGGUCAUCUCUGAAUUUACCAUAAACUAUACCAUACAUUCCAUUGUUCACUCACAAAUAAUAAUUGAGUGCUUACUAUGUGCCAGGCACCAAACCAGCAUCUCAUUUUUCCUCUACAUCUGCUGAAAGAUUCUCCCUCCCCAGCUUCACUACCAGUCUCUAGGAACCCUUGAGUCAGGGGAAGACUCAGCCAGGUAGAGAAAUAGCCUUUCUCUACCAGGAUAGGGCCCAGCACACUCACUGUCUUCCCAGAAUCAAUACUCCCAGAACUCUUAAGUGCUAACGAUGCAAGAGGAGCCAGCGAGCUACCCACCCACCUACCUCGUACUUACCUGCCUACCUACAUUCCGUGGUUCUGCCCAGCAUGGAGUAAGUCCUAGCCCUGGCCCAGGGACCCCAGCUGGGCCUCUGCCUGCACACCUCUCUGAGCAACUGUGCUCCUGUUGCCCUCAUGUCUGCAGUGAACAUUUUGGGGGAUACUGAAGUUGUUUUCAAAGUGUUUUUGGGCUGGGCACAGUGGCUCGUGCCUGUAAUCCCAGCACUUUGAGAGGCUGAGGUGGGCAGAUCACUCAAGCUCAGGAGUUCAGGAUCUGCCUGGGCAACAUAGUGAGACCCUGUCUCUGUAAAUAAAUAAAAGUACUUUUGAUCUAAAUUCUCCUGAGUGUUCCCUUUCUUUACUUUGCAAAGCUGGUUGAAGAGAAAGAGAGGUGGCAGCAGCAGAAGGACGUCAGGACAGUAGUUUCCAAAUCUGGUCCUCAGAACACCCAUGAACCAUGAUGAUGAUCACCAUGUCAUCACUGGUGACAAAAAAAAAAAAAAGAGAGAGAGAAAAACACAACCUGUGGCAUGAGCUUUUUUUUUUUUUUUUUUUUUUUGGAAACAGAGUCUUACUGUGUCACCUAGGCUGGAGUGCAGUGGUGCGAUCUCAGCUCACUGCAACCAGCAUGAGCUUUUUCUGUGCAAAACUAUUCCAUUUAAGGGCCAUCUUUUAAAUGGAAGUCAAGUUCUUCCUCCUUUCUUGAUGUUAAACUAUAUUUUCUUGGCUGGGCGAGGUGGUGGUGGUUGGUAUUCUCAACACUUUGGAAGGCCGAGGUGGGUGGGUCACCUGAGGU
rnacentral:lncRNA from 10 species